GGAAAUUGAUUCGAAGGUUGCAUAUUGGUGUUUUCUUGUGUUUUAUUUUUUCGAUAUUUAUAUUGCUUACAUAAAUUGUUGCUUUUGUGGUAUUGCAUUUUGUAUUGGUGUGUUGGUGUAUGGUAUCGGACCAGGUUGUAUUGUGUGGACUAAAAUGGAGGAGUCGGUAGGUAGUGCUAUGAUUAAACUCACAGGUCAAAAUUGGGUGACUUGGAAGCCUAGAAUGGAGGGAAUCCUUUAUUGUAAGGAUUUACAUGAACCUAUUGAAGGUCACGUAGCUAAACCAGAGGAAAUGACUGAAAAGCAAUGGUAUAUUCAGAAUAGAAAGGCCAUAGGAACAAUCAUACAGUGGGUGGAUGACAGUGUGUUUCGUCAUGUGGCGCGAGAGACAAAUGCUCAUAAACUAUGGACAAAAUUGGAGUUAAUGUUUGAGAAGAAAGCCAUAACUAACAAGUUUUUUCUGAUCAAAGACUUAGUCAAGUUGAAAUACAAGGAAGACAUGAGCAUGACAGAGCAUUUGGCUAAUUUCCAGAAUAUCAUAAACCAGCUAGCAACUAUGAGUAUGGUACUUGAAAAUGAAUUGCAAGCUUUGUUGCUUUUGAGCUCGUUGCCAGAUGGCUGGGAGACCUUCGUCAUGAUUGUCAGUGAUUUUGCUGCUAAUGGUGUUUUAUCUGUGGAUUUUGUGAAAGAUGGCAUGCAGAACAAAGAAACAAGAAAAAAAAUUUCUGGGGUUUGCACGGGUAUUGAUAAAGCACAAGCUUUUGUUACUAUAAUUAGUUUAGAGUUAUGUCACAGUCAAUUAAGGAGGGCCAUAUCAAAAUAAAAUGCCUUAUUUUUCUGACAGAGCAAAUGGAAAGUGACAAUCAGAAAAUGGAAGAUGAUAAGAACAACAUGGUGAUUGUCCAUUUUCGUGCUGUGGAGAGACCCAAAGAAGAUGAAUUCUGCUUAGAGCUGUGAGUGUUUUUCUUGAUCUUAUUUUUCUGGACUGUUGAAGACUGUACUUUACUGAUUGUAUGCUUGUUCCCUUUAUCAUAAUUUUCUGAGCAAGUUUAGGUUGAUUUAUCUAACCAAUUUGGGCAAAAUUUCCAGAGCAGAGAACCACACAUAUUUUGAUGUCGUGGAAAGGGUAGCUCAACACCUUGGGUUGGAUGAUAUAACUAAAAUUCAGCUUACUCCUCAAGAUUACUAUUCUUAGAAACCAAAGCCCAAUCCUAUUAAAUAUAGAUCAGUUGAUCGCCUACUAGACAUGCUUGUCAACUACAAUCAGGUAGCUCCAACACACCGUCUUUUACUCUGUUUUAUUGUAGCGGCACAGUAUUCAGAUGUUGAUGGAUCAAUAAUUGUUUGCUUUCUUUCUAAUAGAGCUCUAAUAUUCUGUAUUAUGAAGUAAUGGACAAUCCUUUACCAGCAUUGCAAUGUCUGAAGACUCUAAGAGUUUCUUUUCGUCAUGCCACAAAGGAUGAGGUGGGAAAACUAUGGAUGUCGUCAUUGUACUGUUCUUCUUCUUCUUUUUUUUUUUUUAAUAUCAUGUGACCUAUAAAAACUUCUCAUUUCAGGCCGUAGUACUGAAUAUUAGAUUGCCGAAACAAAGCACCGUGGGAGAUAUUUUUAAUGAGAUCAAAACAAAGGUUUGCAUGAGCAAGUCACAUGGAAAUGUUUUCCGAAAAUUCGAACUUCUAUCAUCUUUCAUUGUUCUUAAGACUAUUUGCAGCAGUUAAUAUAGAAAUUGUGUUUUCAUCAUUAUUUCAUGGGGCAAAAUAUAAGAUAUACUGACUAGCGCAGGAUUGACAAUUUCUCAUGUCUUCUGCAGGUAAAGUUGUCUCAACCAAAUGCAGAACUCAGGUUGCUCGAAAUUUUCUAUCACAAAAUUUAUAAGGUAAUGUGGUCACUUGCCCGCUCUGAAGUCGGUUGCAGUUUAGUCCUGUUAUUAUGGCAUAAAUUUUAGUACAAAUCUAGCACCAUAAGAUCUGGCCUUCAUUGUAGAUUGCUUUUGUUGUAGACUCUUAUGCAACAAAAUACAAUGUAGGUUCUUUGUUUUAUGAUGCAUCCAUAUUCUUCUGUUUCCAAUUCUGCAGAUCUUUCCGCUCAACGAAAAGAUUGAAAGGAUAAAUGAUCAGUACUGGACAUUAAAGGCUGAGGAGGUUACUUUGUUGCUCACAAAAUCUUCCUCUUGCGUUCUUUUCUCACAAUUUUCAUGCAUGUACAUGGUUUUUUGUUCAGUUGCCUCAUUAUUCCUCUAAGUUCGAGUAUGCUCAUAUGCUGUCUGAAAGAAUUCAGGAAGAUGCUUUUUUACCGCUUUAUUUUUGGUCUUAUCCUUAUAUUUGCAUACAUAUGGUGAUAUACAUAGAGUAAUACACACACAGAUAUAGAUGCACAAGUACACGAGCUUUAUUGCUCUCAGAAUUGCCCUCUUGUUCACUUUUUCAUGCUUUCAUAGUUGUCUCUUCUGUUCACAACCUCGUUUUCUCUGUAACUAUAAAAUUUAGUAACUUGAUGCCAUUCAUGGAAUCCAGGAAGUUCACAGUUCUAGAUUUGGUCUUAUUUUUUUUAUAAAAUAUUGUCAUAUGGUUCUACAGGUCGGCUUUUCUUGUGAUAGUUCUUCACUUAUAGUUUUUGUUAUAGUGAUAUUCAUUCAUGUUGCUUUCUGUUCCAAUGUUUCUGACUUCAAAUUUGGGUAACUAUCAUUCCAAAUUCCUGAAGAAGAGAAGAACCUUGGUCCCAAUAGCCAUUUGAUUCAUGUUUACCAUUUUAUGAAACAGAAUGCACAGAAUCAAACGGUACUUUAGCAAUCACAUAAUCUCUGUGUUUAUUGUCAUUUAAUGUCAUUGAUUCUUUUUGGACAUAAUUUUAAUGGUAAUGAGCUUGAUAUUGAAAAUGUGGCUUAUAUUCACUGUUUCCCAUACAGCAAGUCGAGAAUUUUGGGGAACCCUUCGUUUUGGUCAUUCGUGAAGGUGAUACUCUAGCAGAUGUUAAAAUGCGGAUUCAAAAGAAAUUGCUGGUUCCUAACGAGGAAUUCUCUAAGGUAUAUUCCAUUCUCAUUGGAUCUAAUCUACAUUACAUAUGGUUUUUAACCCGCAUCCAACACUUUGCCUAAAUUUGCUAAUGCCCUGUGGAUUUGUUGAGAUUAUACUUUGGGUCAUAAGAUUUUGCAGUUUUAUGUUCAGUGGAAGUUCGUUUUUGUCUCACUGGGGCAUCCAGAUUAUCUCAAGGACUGUGACAUUGUGUCUAGCCAUUUUCAGGUCAUCUUUUCAAUGCCAAGUUUCCUGUCUUAUCAAUUAAUUUUAGAAUAAUUCUAUUUGUACCGAAUUCAACUUACGAAAAGUUGUCACCCCUCUCACAACGCAUGCGGGCCAUGUGUGAAUAUAAAAAUUUCCAAAUGUGGUCAUCACCCCCUAUUGAGUAGUAGGUAAAGGAUUAGGUAAAAAAAAUUAUGUACAUGUAGCAAUUGUCCUUAAUUUUAUUGAAUUAUUCAAUUUUUUUCUUCAACCUCUAUAAAGACUAAGGAACUCGUAUUUUAUUCUCUUGUAGAGAAGAGAUGGUUUUUGUGCUUGGGAGCAAUACCUUGGGUUAGAGCAUUUUAACACUACACUUAAAAGGGCUUAUGCUGCAAACCAAGUGAAUUCGUUGAAUAUUUUUGUUUCGCGCGUGUUAGUCGCUAAUAAUUAAAAGGGAUCAAACGAUUGUAUAAGGGACAAAUCUCUUGAGACAAAAUCCAAAAAAAGGGGUGUUCUUUAUUGGCGGUGACUUUACAAUCGGAAAUUAAAAACAGAAUGGCUCCAAGGGGCGCAAGCACACGAGUUACUGAAAGAAGUGUUUAAAUCUAAACUAAGAAAUUUAAAAUUACAUAUUCUCUGUUCGAGAGUUUUUGAUUCGGUCCCUUUUGCUCUAUGUCCUUCCUUCCUUUUAUACUCCCUGAAUGAUCUCUUUGUGAUCAACCGCCUAAAAACUGAUGGAUCGUUCUAUAACUGGCCACUUUUCCUCGUAAUGGCCAACUUGUUAUGGAACUACCUUUUCUAACUGCUGUCAUUACUCUUUGUCGUUCAACCAUCUUCAAUUAAGUUCCUUGAAUCGUGGAACGUGAUAGGGCUGCUUUAAUAACUGCUUUGAUAACUGCGCUUCUUGAUAACCACAACACUUCAUGUUUGCUAAGACCUUGGGCGACUCGAAAGUUUGGGAGAGAAUAGAGUAACAGCUCUGGGCGACUGCAUGGCACUCCAUUCGCUCAGAUUCUGGGCGACUUGCAAACUUGGACGAUGGUGUUACCGCGUUCUUGGGCCUCUCUAUUGGGGCCUUCAUCUUGAAUUGUUUGAUUGGGCUUCAUUUUUUGGGCUAUCUGAUUUGAUUGGGCUUCGUUCUUUGGGCUAUCUGAUUUGGGGAUCCUCCAAUUAGGCUUCAUUCCUUGGGCCGUUCGAUUUGGGUUGAAUUUUUAUGUGUCAACAAUUACCCCCCAAUAUGGCAGAAUUAAUACCAAUUACUAAAUUUUGCCAUAUUCACUUUGUGUUUCUAGCAACAUUUGAAAUUUUCAAGAAUUUCAAUCAUUGUUUUCUUCCAUAGCUUGAAAAGGUGCGACGUUUUGCAAACCCUUAUAACCCCCAAACAUGCCAUUUCACUGCACCAUUAAAUCACGCCUCACUUUUUCGUGUUUCUCUCCCACGAUUUACUGUUCAUCUUUUUGCUUCCCUGCUACGUAACUCUGAAAAAACUCCGUUUCAUCCCUAAUGGCUACUUCACAAUCUCAAUCUGGCUACUCCUUUAGUUUUGAUGACUUUCAAAAACUUCUGAGUCGUCCAUACAUAACUCCGAACUUUCUCGCGCCUGUCAAUGUCCAACUCAAUGAGUUCUACCUAGGUCCUUUCUUCAACAAUGCAGAGGCAGUCGAACAGGCGACGGUGGGCCAGCUAUUUCCUUGUACUCAAGGCCCUCCAUUUCUAAACUCUCUGCCGUUGGGGCCACUUCGCGAAAGAGGUAUUCGCACUUGGCCUAAAUCUGAUGUAGUUUUCCGUAGGUGGCAUGCUCGCCUUGUGGACCAUGGUCCUACUAAGGCACUUUUUGAUAAUGCUAGGAUUUUUGAUUUGUUAGAAAUCUCUCUUCAACCCCCUACUUUUGAUUCAGCACUUUUUCGAUUGCUUUGAAUUUUUGGUCUUCUGAGUAUAAUACCUUUAUUUUCCCUCUUAGCCCCAUGUCUAUUACUUUAAGGGAUGUUGGGGCCCUAGUGAAUCUGUCACCUUUGGGCGAUACCAUUUUUCCUGGUAUCUUGGUUUCUGGUGGCGCCCCAAAGUUUGGUAGAAAGUUUACCGAGUCUCAUUCAAGCCUGCAAACCCUUCAUAACCAUUCGAGCGCUAAGCCUUCCCAUACUGAGCGAGUGGCCUUUCUUCUGGUUUGGCUUUGUAAAUAUGUUUUGUGUGUGCCAAACAUAAAGCCCUCCCUGAGUUAUUUACCCAUAGCGCACGAAUUGGCGCGUGGCAUGCCUUUGAAUUUAUGUUCUUUCUUUUUGGCUACCAUUUAUAGAGGCAUGGAUUCUCUUCAAACUCAAUUGAAGAAUGGUGCAUCUCCCACUGGUAGUGGACCUCUUUGGUUCACUCAAAUGUGGUUGAGAUCCUAUUUUCCAUUGCUUGGUACUCCAUCAAUUUCUCGUUCUUCUGCUAGCUGCUAUGGGCUAGUCAUUGAGCCCUUGGCUCCUGUAAAUAUGUCUAGAAGGGACAUUUUUUCAUUCUUUUAUUCUUUGGAUUCAAUCCCUUCCUUCUUUCCUUUUUCUCCCUUUUUGACUUCAAACUGUGUGCAUCCUCCAUCCACUAUAGACAGCGCGAGCACCUCUCUACUCAUUUGGAUCCAAUUUUUAAUCGGGAGGGAGUUAUUUCAUGAUAUUUUAACUGGGACCAAUGCCAAGGCAGGGGUAGAAAUAUAUGCUCCCCAAUUUUUUGCUCGUCAGCUUGAUUUCGGCUAAACUUGGCCUGUUCCUCCUUGCUAUUCAAGGAACUUAAUUGACUGUUUCCAUAUUAUUAAUAAGACAGAGGCAGAGGUUAUAAAUGCUCGCAAUCUUCUCUUAACAAGCUAGUUUUCAUUAGCUCUCUUCAAUUCUAGCCACGCCAUCCAUCCCCCUUUUGAACAGCUCUGGUUGUCAGUGAAGCGCAGAUUGUUUGCGACUGAUGCCAAUCGUGCCUUUCAUUCACUGGACCAGUCGAGCAUUUCUUCCCCUCCUCCUAUUUUAGUCACUCCUUUGUCCAUCCGGAGUCCUUGUCCUCCUCGUCGCGCUAAACAGUCUGCUCGUCCAUCUUCUUCUCUCCCUGCCAAGCCUACUGCAGCCAAGAGUGCCCCAAGCCGCAAACGGCCAGCCUCAGCAUCUCCCAUUUUGGAGGAUGAUGUUGAUGAUGAUGAUGAUGAUACCCCUCUUAUCAUCAGGAGAAAAGUAAUUAAAUUGGUUUACUCACAAGCAUACUUUUCCAUACUUGAAACUUUUCUGUGUGCUGAUGAUUUAUUUGGACUUCUCAGAAAAGUUCAGCCUCUCCUUUAAAGGCUUUGGUAUCGGCAGCUCCUGUUCCAUCAUCCUCCGCUGAGGCUGCUUUAUCCAAACCAGCUGAUGAAGGGACUACGCUUAAAGAGACAUCUUCAGUCCCAGAAUCCUCAUCACAACCAAUGGAUGAGCCACCUUCUUCCCAGGGUGUCAACCCCCCAAACAUCGAAGUAGGAGGUAAUUCAGUUUUUUGAUGCUUUACCUUUGCUUGUGCUAUUGGUUUCUGAUUUGUUGCUUUUGAGUUUUGCAGAUGCUUCUAUGAGUCUGCCCGUUGUGGCAACAUCUUCUCGCUCAGACAAGGAGAAGUCCUCACGAAUGGUGGAGUCACAGGUGGCAGACUUGGCUGAGGAUAUACCAUCUUCCACGAUUAUUGAUGAGGUAAUCUUUGCUUCACUUUUAUUUCCAUCUUGUUCAUUGUAGUGAGAAUCUUCAAUAUUGGCAAUUUUCUUUGCAGGAUGCUGACAAGAUUGUGCGUUCCAUCCAAGACUUGUUCGCUUCCUGGGGGCAAGUCAAGACAUCUCGCCCUGCUCCAUCUAGUCGUCCUGCUACUUCUUCAGAGGAAGAUUUGAAGUUCCUCAAGCAGUCGAUAUUUGAGUACGUGUCCUUCAUGGAUAUGGACAUUGGUAAGGCUAGUGCUGCCAGAUACAAGGAUAAGCUUGAGCAUUUGAAUGCGAAGUUGGAGCAAGCACUGACACUUCCGUCGCUCAAUUUUUCUACCGAUUUUAAAGCGAUGUUGAAAGUUAUCCAUUCCGAGGUCCUCUCUUUGCUGGCCAAGAAUGCUGAACUAAAAGCCAAAAGUACUCAAUAUCUUCGCGUCGUAUCUGAAAAAGAGUCUUUGCGUCUGGAGAUCAACAAGGCUGAGGAUGAGUUGAAAGAAAUCUCUUCCGAAGUCACGAUUGAGGACUUUUUGAUGGUUAGUUUGGCUGCUCAAAUGAAGGAACUUCAAGCCAAAAUGGACGACUGCAAGGCGAAAAUGGCUGCUAAAAAGUGCAACGCCUCCCAGGGAAUUGAGUGAACUAAGUCUUUGGUCGAGCAGUACAAGAAGUUGGAAGUUAAUGAUGAUGUCGUGGCCGAAUUGAACAUCACUUCCUCUCGGCAUAACGAGGAUUGGGAAAAACUUAGGGAACGAAUUCGUUUAGUAUGGGGUGGAUUGUAAUUAAGACAUAUGACGCCUUAACUUUUCUUUUUGUAAGUUCGCAUUUGACUUUCCCUUUGUAACCUUGUUCAUCAUUAAUGAACUUAUAUGUUAACUUCUCGUGCAUUUAUUUGACGUUUGUCUUUUAAUCGCCAAUUCUUCAAGCAUUUAACUGCUUUGUGCUAAAAAUCUUGCACAUUUUCUCUUGAUAUUUCCACCUCUUUUCCCAAGACUUUGGACUACUUAAUUCCAUUUACUAGGCAGAAUAUGGCUGCUCAUAUUCUGUCUCUUCAUCUCCACCCCCUAUAAAUGUACGUAUGCUUCGCACUUUUCAUCUUCCAUCUUCUUUUCUUCUUCGAAACCAAUUUGCUGCCAUUGUUUGGUAUUCUGACAAUCAAUUCAAAACCUUCGUCUUCUAUAAAAAUGGAUUGUUUGGUCCGCCCAUUUUACUAUUUGCCUUGAUGUCACCUUUGGUAUAGGAGGUAUAGGAAAUAUUUUUUGGCUAGCAGCAAAGUUUUUCCCAUCAUCUCUUUGUCCUUUACAAGGAGUUCGAUGAUAAAAGACAAUUUUUGGAAUGCUUGCGGGCCACCUUGCUUGUUGAGAGUGUUUCUCAGUCUCUUUGCCCGCCAUUGCAGCGAUGCAUUUAGGAAGGCGGUGCAAGGCCAGUCCACCCCUCUUAUUCGGCGAUCGACCGGGAGAUUAGCUUACUUUUAAUUGUAAUUUGUAGAGCAUCCAUUAUUUGUAUUUUUGUAUCUUUGUAAUGAACGUUUGAUAAUAAAGGACUUUAUUUGAACGUAUUUCGUUCUGACCUUGUUAUCCUUAAUCGUUCAACAUGUUUUGAUUAUGCUUUUAUCUGUUCACAUUCCCAUAAAGAAGGAACAUAUUUUUUCAAAUAUUUGUCGUUAAUGAAUCUCACGUGCUUGGUGCCAUCUAAAUCUUCCAAAUGAUACGCUCCAUUGGGCAACACACUGUUUAUUUUGUAUGGUCCUUCCCAAUUAGGGGACCACUUCCCGUACUUUGAAUCCUUGCUAUCUAAAGGGAGUAUCGUCUUCCAAGCUAGUCCACCUAGGUUGAACGACUUGGCUAUGACUUUUUUAUUAUAAAACUUAGUCAUUCUUUGUUUUUGAACUUGCAAUCUAUCUAAGACGUUCAACUUUAAUUCGUCCAACCCCAAUAAAUUUUGAACUAGUGAUUCGGUAUACUCAUCAUCAUUUAACUUAUGUUGCAAGUACACUCUAAUCGAUUGCACGUUAAUUUCCAUGGGCAAAACGGCCUCCUGUCCAUAAGUAAGUUGGAAAGGAGUAACUUUGGUACUUGACCGAGGUGAUGUUCUAUAAGCCCAUAAGGCCUUGUUCAUACAUUUGUGCCAAUUUCUGGCAUUUUCAUCUAUCAUCUUUUUGAUGAUAUUUUUUAGAAUCUUAUUAGAAGAUUUUGAUUGUCCGUUGGAUUGAGCGUAAUAUGGUGUAGAGUUUACUAAUUUAACCCCAAACUCGCUCAAAAAUUUGUUCACUUGAUCCCCAUUCAAAGACGUUGCGUGAUCUACCAUCAACGUUUGUGGAAUUCCAAACCUAUAAAUGAUAUGAUCACGGAUAAACUCUAUGACAUUCUUUUGGGUGAUCUCUUUCAAAGGUACCGCCUUUACCCACUUGGUGAAAUAGUCGGUUGCAACUAUAACAAAAGUAUGUUGCUUGGACGAUGGGGGAUAAAUCUUCCCUAUCAGCUCUAUCGCCCAACCCUUGAACGGCCAAAGUUUAAUAACAGGUGUCAUCUCUCGUGCUGGCGCCCUUUGUAUUGGACCAUGAUUUUGGCAUGCUAAACAACUCUUUGCAUAUUGAACGCAUAAUUCUCCCAUCUUUGGCAAAAAAUAUCCACUCCUAAUAAUUAACCACCUCAUCCUUUGGCCAGCUUGAUGAGCUCCACAUAUUCCUUUGUGCACCUCAGCCAUGAUCGUCCUGACUUCUUGCAAACUUACACACUUUAGCAAUACACCAUCAGAGCGUUUCUUAAACAACUCUUCAUCUAUUAGUGUAUAGUUCAGCAAACUUAGUUUCAUUUUCCUACUAAUCCCUCCAUUAGGUUCUUUAAGGAACCUUUUAAUCACUGUUCUCCAAUCCAUUGCAUCUCCAUCUUGUAUGCAGUGAAGUUCAAUCCUUCUCGCCAUUCUUUUGGUCACGGGCAAUAUGGUUCUAUACUCACAAGUAAACUUCCAAUUCAAAAUCUUUGAGUACCCCGAGACCAUUUGGGCCAACUCAUUUGCCACGUCGUUAUAUAUCCUAUUAACGCAUUGAAGUUCUACUUGGUUGAAUUCUUCUAACAAUUCUUGGGCAAUCUCAUAUUGACUUAUAAUGGAAUCACUUUAGCAUUUAAAAUCACCAAUCAAUUGGUGAAUUACCAAUUGAGAAUCGCCCCCUAACGAUCACAUUUUUUACUCCCAUUUCUAUCAUUAGUUCUAGGCCUACGAUUAAGGCUUCAUAUUCGGCCUGAUUGUUGGUGCACAUCCUGUCUAAAGUGAACGCGAACUUGUAGCAAAUCUCUAAAGAAUUAAUCAAUGCUACUCCUACUCCUGCACUUUUGGAGGUUUUUGACCCAUCGAAAUACAACACUCAAGGUUUUAGCUCGAAUGAAUUGAUCUCUAAUUCAAUUUCUUUAGGCAUGUCAAGGCAUGAAUGAUCGGCUAGAAAGUUAGCCAAAGUCUGAUUUUUGACUGCCUUUUGAGGUAUAUAUUGUAUCUCAAAUUCUAAUAAAGCUAAUGUCCAAAGGCCUACCAUUUGAUGUAAAAUAGGACUCGAGAACAUAUACUUAACUAAGUUUACUUUAGAAAUUAAAUAAACGGUUACGGGUUGUAAAUAAGCCCUUAAUUUUGUACAUGUGAAAUACAAUGCAAGACAUAAUUUUUCAAUAGCAGAGUAAUUACAUUCCCAUUUUGUUAACCGUCUACUUAAGUAGGAAAUUGUCAUUUCUUCACCAAAUUGGUCUUCUUGUACGACCAUUCCAGCUAUUGAUUCUUUUUCAGUCGAUACGUACACUUUCAUUGGCCGUCCUUGGAUUGGUGACACCAACACUGGUGGGCUUGAUAAAUAUGUUUUCAGGCUUUCAAAAGCCUUUCGAUGUUCUUCUUUCCAGACGAAUUUGUCCUGAUUUUUCAGCUUUAAGAGCGGCGAAAAGACUUUAGUUCGUCCUGCACAGUUAGAAAUAAAGCGUCUUAAAAAGUUUACUUGGCCUAGAAAUCUUUGCAAUUCUUUUUUGUUGCUAGGUGGUUUGGCCUCUAAAAUGGCCUUCGCUUUAUUUUUAUCAAGUUCAAUCCCUCUCUUGUGUACUAAGAAAUCAAGAAAAUUCCCUGCAUUAACACCAAAUGCACAUUUCAAGGGAUUCAACUUUAGUUUAUAUUGCUUCAUUCGCUCAGACGAACAUCUUAACUAUUCGAAAUGGUCCUCCUCUUUAAUGGACUUGACUACUAUGUCAUCUACAUAUACUUCAACAAACUUGCCUAUCAUAUCAUGAAAGAUUAAAUUCAUUGCCCUUUGAUAAGUUGCCCCUGCAUUUUUUAGGCCGAAAGGUAUAACCACCCAUUCAAAACAUCCUAAAAACUCAAGGCAUCUAAAGGCAGUUUUGUGUAUGUCUUUUUCAGUUAUAUAAAUUUGAUUGUAUCCUGAAUACCCAUCCAUGAAAGAAUACAUGACAUGUUCGGCAGUCGAGUCUACUAAAGAAUCCACCGUGGGCAUUGGAUACUCAUCUUUGGGUGUAGCUAUGUUUAAAUUCCUAAAGUCUAUACACACCCUUAGUUUACCAUUCUUUUUUAGUACUGGCACGAUAUUGGACAACCAUUCGACAUAUCUGACUGUUCUAAUAAAACCUGCUUUCAAUAAUCGCUCUAUCUCUUUCUUAAUCUCACGGAGUACAUUAGGAGCAAAAAGUCUAGGAGGCUGCCUAUGAGGUUUAAAAUUAGGCUUAGUUGGUAACCUAUGUUUCACCAAAUCUCUAUCUAAACCAGGCAUUUGUUCAUAUUCCCAAGCAAAACAAUCUUUAUACUCCUUUAGCAAAGCGAUUAAUUUAUCACUAACCUCUUGAUCGAGUAUCUGGCUGAUGAAUGUUGGACGAUCUUCUCCUUCAUUACCAAUAUUUACUUUGAUCAGAGGGUCUUGUGCUUGAGCGUAUCCAGGUUUGAUGAUCCGCAUCACUUCGUCGUCCAGUUCCCUUGUAAGUACUUCUUCUUCUAUACAGUCCACCUUGUUGACUUCUCGGCCAAUACUUUGUUCUAACUCGAAUACUGCUAAUUUCUCCUUCAGUGCUUUCAGGGCUGUCUCUUCUUUUGCCUUGUCAUUGCAUUCCUUAUUGAAAGCCAUUAGUCUGGCUUUGAAGGCCUGAAUAUCGGCCAUUUGCUUUUAUAACUUAGAAUCCAUUCAAGACUCGUUGAUUAUUCUUUUGCCAAUUACUGGCUCUUCUAGGGCCACUAUAUUUAGUCUCAUCUGUCUGAACAUUUCAGUGAGUGCGUCCACUGCAAAUGGCUCUUCGCUUUGCGCGACAACUUGAAUUUCUUCCCCACCUUGUACUAUCCUGACAGGUCCAUAGUUUUCUUCGUACAUGAACUUUUUCACCGAGUUUGCUUCUGCGACAAAAGGCCUAUGAUCGGCCUGUACUACCUCUGCUUCGCCUUUUGUUAUUCCAAAAGAUCAGGCAUUGAUGGAGCGAUGAGGGUAUACUACGACUUCCGUUUAUCCAAUCUCUUCCUAGUAACACAUUGUAACUAGUAGGACCAUCUAUUACAAAAAAGACUGUGGUCCUAGUAGUCCUCCCUAUAGUUAUGUCCAAUGGCAUAACUCCCUUAGCUGAAGUUGCUCCUCCAUUGAAAUUCGUAAGGAUGACUUUUGUAGGAAUCAUGUCACCCUUUGUCUUUGCGAACUUCCUCAUCAACCUAGAUGGAAUGGUGUUUAUAGCUGCUCCAUUGUCGACAAGCACUUUUGCCACAGGGAUGUCGUUAACUAGAGUUUUAACGUACAAUGGUCUCGAGUGUUUAGUCAAUUUCAUGGCUGGCCGUUUAAAAAUAACCUUUUCGAUAGCCUCUAUUUCUACUUCCUGCUUGUUUUCUGUCAAAUUAUCCCCCUGUGAUAAGUCGACGUGCAGCAUAUCGCGCUGAGCCUCUGUCUCCUGAAUUUCGUUCUUACUGUUUUCUAAUGCUUUCUCCUUAGUUACCCAACCUGUGAGAGGGAACAUUAUUCUUGGGGGUGAUUCAUACUUUUCAGAGCGAGGCACUCUUUUCUUCCUUUUGGGUGUCCCGUAUAGUACGUAGAAAUCGAAAGGACGCCCAGAUGGUUCUCCCAACAAGUCUACUUUGCGAACUCCCUCUCGAUGUAGUUGCUUCAACAGAAUAUUGAGCGAUACUCCUCUCCUUUUUCCUUCUUCUUCUAGGUCGAUUUUUUCUUCAAUGUCUGUCAUCCUGUCGCCUUCUUCAUCGUUGUAGGCCGCUCUAGAAGUUUGGCCUUCUUCACAUUCCAACACGCAAGCCUCUCCUUCGUCAUCCUCCCUUUCUUCUUAUUCUUUUUUUUUAUUCUUGAAUUCAUUGGCCUAGUAAGUAAUUAUUGGCCACGGCAGGAGGUAACCUACCGAACUGGAUAGUAAGGGGCUGAUCUGGAUCUUCUCCAUCCCUCCUGUCCCGCUCAAACUUUGAUCUCCCAGAAGAAGUUUUUGGCAGUUCUUUCAUUGAUUCAUCUAUACCGGUUUCUUCACUAUCCUUGAGAACAUUUUGAUUGGCUAUCUUGAGUAGUUUAGGUGCUUGAGGAUGUGGCACUCCCUGUUGCUGCCUCAUCAUUCGUCCAUAGUUUCGUUGGAAACGCCUUUGUUGGGUUCUAGUCAUCUCGUCGAAGGGUAUUGCCCUUCCUGCAUUAUACUGGAACAAAUGCCAUACAUUUGGCCGGCGAGAUUGCGGCCUGAAUGUUCUCCCAUUAUCUGUUGGCCUGAACUGCCUCUCAAAAGGCGGUCUUCUAUAGAAUGAUGUAUCUCGCCCUCUACCAGACUGAGUGUUUGGGAAAAAAGUAGGGUGAUGGAGAUGCUGCCAUAUCCCUGGUUUCUCCGGGUUCCCACUCACUUCUCUUUUACAUCUUGCACAAAGGACGUCUUCGUCCUUUUUUGGUUCUUUCCCCUUGAUUCGUUCAAAGACACUGGGAUGUGGUCUAGGAUCCUCUUCUCCAUCAUCUAUGACCAACUUGAGUUUUGGCAACUUGUUUUUGAAACCUGACGUCACCAUGUUCACUCCAAGUGACUGUGGAAAAGGAUUUUCAUCCACUGUCAUCUUCUUCUUAUCGUCGAACGUAAUUCGUCCUGAUUCAAUGGCAUCUUGCAACACAUGGCGAAAAAUCAAGCAAUUGUUAGUCAAAUGUGACCAUACAUUAUGCCACUUACAAUAUUUUUUACCCUUAAUUUGUUCAGGGUUUGGCAAUUUAUGCUUAUCGCUCAGCUUUAUCUGCUUAUCCCUAUAUAAUUUAUCAAAUAUAAGGUCAGCUUUGGUUACAUCGAACGAGAAUGUUCUAGCCUUUAUGUUUCCAUCUUUCAUGGGUUCAUCUUUACCCGAUGGUCUAGGCUUGGCCAUUAUAGGACAAGUAUACGUAUCUCCUUUGACCAAUUCGGCCAAACACAUUUCGACCUGAUUGUAUGACUCGUCGUUGAUGGUAUGAACGUCAAAAUUUGGGUCUUUGUAAUAAGUCCCUUUACUAGAAUUUUUCAUCUGCUCUUCUUCUCUUAUCAAUCAUUCAUACCUAAUCACACUCGCACUCAACUGAAAAAGGUCAGAAAAUUCCUUGUCUUGAAAUUUCUUUUUUAAAUCAAAGCUCAAACAGCCCUGAGCGAUUUUGACAAAUUCUUUUUCGGGCAGAGGUAUAAAACACUUGCUUCUUGCUGUUUUGAACCUUUGGAGAAAACUUUCUGCCCAUUCGUUUAGCAUUUGACGUAAAUUCACCAAAUCAGCCAAAGUGAUUUCAGACUCAGUUUUAUAAAAUUGAGCUUGGAAUAAUUGUUCCAAUUGUUGCCAUGUUUGAACAGAGUUCGCUGGCAAGUUGAUGAACCAGGAGAAAGCUACUCCUGUUAAUGAACUAGGGAAAAGCCUCAUUUUAUGGUAAUCGAUUACAUUAUCACUUUGCAAUGUGAAUCGUCCUAUGUGUUCUAGAGUAGACACCUUUCCUAAACCGGUAAACAGUGAGAAUUCUGGCACUUUAUACCCUCUAGGCCAUGGAUAUGCUUGGUCUACCCAAUCAGGAUAUGGUUGUGUAAGUCGGCCUAAUGACGGGACGCACCCCAAAAGUCAUCUGACCCUGUACAAUUUUCAUAAUCUAAUUUCUCAACAUGACGUUGGGGUCAUAUGAAAUUCCUACAGGUUGGUUAACCGGUUGAUUUGUAUGAGACCUGAUGUUUGGUCCUUGAUUGGCAACAAAGUUACCAUGAUUAGGGUCAUUACCAUUAGCCUGAACAUCUAUUCCUUCAUUAACACGUGGGGUAUUCUGUCCAUUGUUUAGGAUAUUAUCUCUUAUAUUUGGAUUAUCCCCCAAGUUAGGCGUACCACUACCAUUGUUCUGGUUUGGCACUACAGCACCCCCUUGGUUUGAAGUAGAGGGACCAGAAAGUAGUUCUACCCAUUGAUUUGGAUUUAGGACUGAGGGAUUAUGUCUCACAAUUGUUCUAGUUUGAAAGUGAUUUGCAAGAGAUAUAACCGGUUGACAUAUUUGGCCUACUAACUUAUUCAUUAUUUCGUUCAAAGUGUUUAGUUGUUUGGCCAUGUUGUCAUAAUGUGCAUUCCCAUUUUGGGCAAAUCUUUUCAUAUUAUGAAUACUUCGAAAAUUUACUUGUUCAACGACAUCUUGUGUGAGUUCUCCAAGUAAUGUACACAUGGUUCGAGGACUCAACUCUGUCAUUGGUUCGUAACGACUGUUACUGCUCUGAUUCUGUCCAUCUGUUCGUGGAGAGGCAUGCUGCUCCUCAUAUCGCUCGAUCACAGACUGGAUUCCUCCCUGACUUGUUGCUUCCUUAUCGGAUCUCUGAGGCAUAUUGUUUCACUUUUUGUAUUUUCAACACCAAACACCACUGUCCCACUGGGCGUGCCAAAUUAUUUCGCGCGUGUUAGUCGCUAACAAUUAAAAGGGAUCAGACGAUUAUGUAAGAGACAAACCUUUUGAGACAAAGUCCCAAAAAGGAGUGUUCUUUAUUGGCGGUGACUUUACAAUCGGAAAUUAAAAACAGAAUGCCUCUAAAGGGCGCAAACACACGAGUUACUGAAAAAAGUGUUUAAAUCUAAACUAAGAAAUUUAAAAUUACAUGUUCUCUGUUCGAGAGUUUUUGAUUCGGUCCCUUUUUCUCUAUGUCAUUCUUUCCUUUUAUACUCCCUGGAUGAUUUCUUUGUGAUCAACCGCCUAAAAACUGCUGGAUCGUUCUAUAACUGCCAACUUUUCCUCGUAAUGGCCAACUUGUUAUGGAACUACCUUUUCUAACUGCUGUCAUUACUCUUUAUUGUUCAACCGUCUUCAAUUAAGUUCCUUGAAUCGUGGAACAUGAUAUGGCUGCUUUAAUAAUUGCUUUGAUAACUGCGCUUCUUGAUAAUCACAACACUUCAUGUUUGUUAAGACCUUGGGCGACUCGAAGGUUUGGACGAGAAUAGAGUAACAGCUCUGGGCGACUGCAUGGCACUCCAUUCGCUCAGAUUCUGGGUGACUUGCAAACUUGGACGAUGGUGUUACCGCGUUCUUGGACCUCCCUAUUUGGGCCUUCAUCUUGAAUUGUUUGAUUGAGUUUCGUUCUUUGAGCUAUCUGAUUUAGGGAUCCUCCAAUUGGGCUUCAUUUCUUGGGCCGUUCGAUUUGGGCUGAAUUUUUAUGUGUCAACAAUUUUCAAUUCUCUUUUGAUUUUUAGAUUGUUGCAGCCAAUUAAAUUGAUAAUUUGUACAGGAAAAGAACGCCAUUUAUUAAGUAUCUUUGAAACAGGAUGUGAACUUCAAUUGUUAGUUAUACUUGGGUGGGCUUUGUACCUUUUUAAGUUUCAUUCAAAAAAGAAAAUUAUUAUUUUGUAAAUAUUAUCUUAAAUGCUGGUAACUUAUGUCUUUCUAAUUGCAGAAGCGCUGCAAAUUUGAGAAACCCGUGAAAAUAUACAAUUAAAUGGAAUUGCUCGUCUCAUUCUUCUUACUCGGAGUCAACAUUGAAAAUGUGAAGAACUUGAAAUCCGAGAUGUGUAAAGGAGAGUUGCAAGGCAGAAAAGAGGAUAGCUGAUGACUUUUUCUCCCUCCAUGUUUCAUCUGUUCACAUAGUUAUUUUGUUAGUGCAAUUAUAUUUUGACUUGAAAUGGAAAAAGGAUGAGCUUUCACUCAAAUGUAUCUUUGCUUUUAGUGGUUCGUAUUUUAUACUUUGCUAUCUUCAGGAAUUUUUUGGUUUCUAUGUAAUGUUACCUUGCAUUUCAAGUUUUUGGUUAAUGGGAUUGUAUAGUGUGUAGUUAGCCCUCACUCUUUCACCUAGGACUGUCAAUGAUUGGAUUUUGAUCCGAAUCAAAUGAAAUUAAUGGAAGAUGAA
rnacentral:lncRNA from 1 species